AGUGAACGCUGGCGGUAGGCCUAACACAUGCAAGUCGAACGGCAGCACAGUAAGCGCUUGCUCUUACGGGUGGCGAGUGGCGGACGGGUGAGGAAUACAUCGGAAUCUACUUUUUCGUGGGGGAUAACGUAGGGAAACUUACGCUAAUACCGCAUACGACCUACGGGUGAAAGCAGGGGAUCUUCGGACCUUGCGCGAUUGAAUGAGCCGAUGUCGGAUUAGCUAGUUGGCGGGGUAAGGGCCCACCAAGGCGACGAUCCGUAGCUGGUCUGAGAGGAUGAUCGGCGACACUGGAACGGAGACACGGUCCAGACUCCUACGGGAGGCAGCAGUGGGGAAUAUUGGACAAUGGGCGCAAGCCUGAUCCAGCCAUACCGCGUGGGGGAAGAAGGCCUUCGGGUGGUAAAGCCCUUUUGUUGGGAAAGAAAAGCAGCAGGUUAAUACCCCGCUGUGCUGACGGUACCCAAAGAAUAAGCACCGGCUAACUUCGUG
rnacentral:rRNA from 1 species